GUAGGUUUUGUGGUUUUGUU
rnacentral:miRNA from 1 species